rnacentral:rRNA from 1 species
ACGGGAGGCAGCAGUGAGGAAUAUUGGUCAAUGGGCGGAAGCCUGAACCAGCCAAGUAGCGUGCAGGAUGACGGCCCUAUGGGUUGUAAACUGCUUUUGUCAGGGAAUAAAAAGGACUACGUGUAGUCCAUUGCAUGUACCUGAAGAAUAAGGACCGGCUAAUUCCGUGCCAGCAGCCGCGGUAAUACGGAAGGUCCGGGCGUUAUCCGGAUUUAUUGGGUUUAAAGGGAGCGCAGGCGGCGAUUUAAGCGUGUUGUGAAAUGUAGGAGCUCAACUUCUGCACUGCAGCGCGAACUGGAUUGCUUGAGUACGCGGGAAGUAGGCGGAAUUCGUCGUGUAGCGGUGAAAUGCUUAGAUAUGACGAAGAACUCCGAUUGCGAAGGCAGCUGUCCGGGGUGUAACUGACGCUAAUGCUCGAAAGUGCGGGUAUCAAACAGGAUUAGAUACCCUGGUA